ensembl:rRNA 5S_rRNA 5S ribosomal RNA
GUCUACGGCCAUACCACCCUGAACGCACCCGAUCUCGUCUGAUCUCGGAAGUUAAGCAGGGUCGGGCCUGGUUAGUACUUGGAUGGGAGAAAUGCAACCACUUGGGCCCUACCCUAGACC